UGAGGGGCAGUUUCCUAGUUUUGCUCAUUGAUUUUCCAAGGGGUAAAAUGAAUGGGUUGCCCCUGAACUUUAGGUGAUUUUGGUAUUUAACCCUUUUCUUUUGGUCAAUGCAAAUCGAGCCCCUUUCUGUUCGAAAAUUUGUAUAUUGAGCCCAAGGUGUCACAUUGGCGUUGACCUGCUGACAUAUCAUGCGUGGCGCCUACGUGGCACCGUUGAUGUCAACUUUAAUCAAAUGAAUUCCUAAAAAGAUGUCACUACCCAGAUUUGAUCCCAAAACCUCAAGUUUGAGGUUUUGGGCAAAAGACCACUCCAGCACCAUAAGCUUAACUACUAAAUUACCCAAAGAAUAUUGCUAUAUACUAAAUCAAUUCAUAACAACUAAAUAAAACAAAAGGAGAUGACGAAGAAAGGGGGAGGAGAAUUAUUUUGAUAAAUAUUUUAUAACAAUAAUACUAGCAACAACAACAAUAAUAAUAAUAACAUUAAUAAUAAUAAUAACAAUAAUAAUAAUAAUAAUAACAUUAAUAAUAAUAACAAUAAUACUAAUAAUAAC
rnacentral:lncRNA from 1 species